rnacentral:rRNA from 1 species
UACGGGGGGGGCAAGCGUUGUUCGGAAUUACUGGGCGUAAAGGGCUCGUAGGUGGCCAACUAAGUCAGACGUGAAAUCCCUCGGCUUAACCGGGGAACUGCGUCUGAUACUGGAUGGCUUGAGUUUGGGAGAGGGAUGCGGAAUUCCUGGUGUAGAGGUGAAAUUCGUAGAUAUCAGGAGGAACACCGGUGGCGAAGGCGGCUUUCUGGACACUUACUGACGCUGAGACGCGAAAGCGUGGGGAGCAAACAGG